UCGAGAAUUUUUGACAAUGGGGGAAACCCUGAUCGAGCGACGCCGCGUGGAGGAUGAAGGUCUUCGGGUUGUAAACUCCUGUCAUUUGGGAACAAGCUGCACAUAUUUACUGUGUGUGCAUUGAUAGUACCAGAAGAGGAAGAGACGGCUAACUCUGUGCCAGCAGCCGCGGUAAUACAGAGGUCUCAAGCGUUGUUCGGAUUCAUUGGGCGUAAAGGGUGUGUAGGUGGCGCGCUAAGUCGGGUGUGAAAUUUCGGAGCUUAACUCCGAAACUGCAUUCGAUACUGGCGUGCUCGAGGACUGGAGAGGAGACUGGAAUUCAUGGUGUAGCAGUGAAAUGCGUAGAGAUCAUGAGGAAGACCAGUGGCGAAGGCGGGUCUCUGGACAGUUCCUGACACUGAGACACGAAGGCCAGGGGAGCAAACGGGAUUAGAUACCCCCGUAGUCC
rnacentral:rRNA from 1 species